UGGAGAGAGGCGGUGCUGAGCUGCAGCGACUGAAGCUCGUGGCAGGCCAGGCCGGCGUGGAUUACCGCGCCCCGGGGUCCUCUGCUGGGGAGAUAAUAUCGAAAACUCCCAAAGCCAUGGAAACAGCGGCUCUUCAAGGUGAUUUUGCACGUGCACAAAAGGAAAAGCAAGUGGAGUUCGGAGGAGGCCCCGUGCUCGCUGCGGCUGCCCAGCCCUUCUCUGUGGUUGCUGAAGGAGCCAGGAAACCAAAGGACUUUGGCUGACUUCUCUGGCUUUUUAUACUCCAAUGCCAUCACCUAAAAAAAAAUGACUACAGACAUUCUAGAUGGUGGAGGUUCAUUCAGUCUGGGCCCUUGAGAGAGAACAACGUGGGGCAGAGCCUCUGGUCAACC